rnacentral:lncRNA from 1 species
AGACGUUGCGCACGAUAUUGGUGUCACUUUGGAAAUAUGGGUUAGAAGGCGGGUUAUUCAAAUUCAAGCUCUUAUCCUAUACAAUAAAUAUCCAUGUUAUGCAUAUCAUUCGAAAGGAAAUAAACCACAGAAAUCAAUAACAUAGAUGAUUUUGUGCUUUGUCUAUUUUUUAAUGAAAAACUUUGCUCAUUUCGAUGCCUAUAACGUCAUUUCAAGGGUGUCCCGCUGUUACAAUUUUGUUUUAUGUGAGUCUUUAAAAUCCCAGUGCGGAUUCAUUAGUAAGUAGAAUGGUUAAAAAUUUUGCAAUUGUUUUGUAUACAUUUAACUUAAAAUGAAGUAACAGACGUUUUUAACUUUAAGAGAAGGAAGAUCGUCAAAAGAGUUUAAAUAAAAAAGAGAAAAAAUGUCCCAAUUAGCUGCUCAACCCGUAA